GGGGGUUGUGAAGUCGCCUGGCGCAUGCCGAGGGGGUAGCUUUCCUCGUAAAUCCAGCUGCAAAACUCUAGUUGCCAACGACGACAACUACGCUCCGGUCGCUCUCGCAGCCUAAAAACUGCGGUGCGUGACCUUCUGCCGACUUAGGCGGAGCCUCGAAACUGCUUGUGUCCAUGCUCGCAGCGUAGAGUCAUUAUCAUGGAAUCGCGCUG
rnacentral:tmRNA from 1 species